CAGGCAGAGUGGAUGGCCAGUGUGAGGUCCUGAGGCAAGAACCUGCUUGGCUGAAAACAGCAAACCUGCCCCUGUGGCUGGGGCAGAGUUUUAGGAGAUGACAGCUGAGGGGAAACUGGAACCAGCUUUUGUAGGGCUUUAUGGACCCUGUGACAGGAUGGCCAGAGCUGUGUACAUGCCACCAGGCAUCCCUCUCCUGUGGGAGACUGUGUGAUCUGCAAACCCCAGAAUUUGUAUAACCUGGAAUCCCGGGACCUUGGAAAUAUGAUCUAUGACCUGCCCUGCUCGCUUCAUCUCCCUUAAGAACUGGACAUCAACAUCAUUAUUUUGAGAUGGUACAAGGGGCUCACCUGGAUGGAGGUGAACACCCACCCAUCACCUGGCAUUGCUAAGCACUGUUACAUGUGGUGUUACUGUCAUGAUUUUCUAAAACUGAAGGACAAGAUCAAUGUUUGAUGACGGGUCAGAGCAUUUGGAAUCAAGACUGUCCUGGAACUAACUGUGUGUGUCAUAAUGUCAUGUUUCUCAUGUGGUACCGGCUCUAUAUGGGUCACUAUGUCUAAACAGGACUCAGUCUCUGCCAGGCUACAUGAAAGGUUUGAUUUUGUCCCUUAUCUGCCUUCCAGUUCAUAGCUUCCUCAAUUGGCUCUUCACCCCAGGAUGAGCCAACCUAGAGAUUUUCUUCUGGAGCUGUCCUUCCCUGGCCCCUCCCUUCCCUCUAUACUGGGCUCCAUUCCUGACCUGAGCCAACCUGAGCUUCGGCUUCUCUUUCCUGGCCCUGCUUCUCUCCUACUCACUUUCUUUCCUGAUUCCUCUCUUCCAUCAGAGCCUGGACCCCUGAGCCCUUCAGCUUGGGUCUCUGUCCUAUCACAGAUUAAAAUCCACAGCUGUCUCUACAAGAGGGCUACUGUGGGUGCAUAUAUGCUUGAGAGGAAGCCCUUCUCCAUUUUAGGGCUAGCUCAUCUGGAGGAGUGGGGUACUCCGGAAACUCACAGGGCAGCCCAUGGCUGGUCUACGCCAGAAAGCAUUCCCUGAAAUGCUAGAUCCCGCUGAUCUCUUCUCCUAACAUUCUGUCAUAGGCUGUGUCUGUGCUAUCCUUGUCAAUUAUUUGUUGAAUUACUCAUUUGACAAAGACUUAUAGAGCUCCUACUACAUGAUGAAUGGGUCCCUCAAUAAACACAGCAAAGUUCCUGCCCUCAUUCAUAUGUUCUUGUGGAGGAGACAGAUAAUAAAAUAAGAAAACAAAUCAUAAAAUUAAGUAUUAAAAAAUAAGUAAGGCAGGAUGGGGGAAUAGAGUGGCAGGACUUGGUGGGGGUAGGAUAGAUAUUUAGAUUAGAAUGAUCAAGAGGUGAUAGCAGACCUAAAAAUGUCGAUCAGAAGCUAACCAUGUGAAGAUCUGUGGGUAGGAGUGUCCCAAAUAGAGCAAACAGUGAGUGCGAAGGCCCCAGGACAGUAACAAGGUUGGCAUGUUGAAGACAUUGCAAAAAGGUCAGUGUGGUCACCACACAACCACAACGGGAGGAGCGAUUAAGAUGCUGGAGACAGUCAGGGUCCAGAUCGUAUAAGGCAGAUUUCCUCCACCCCAGAACUAUCAACAUUUUGGGUCAGAUGAUUUUUUUGUUGCAGGUGCUUGUCCUGUGCAUGUUGUUUUGCUGUGCAUGUUGUUUUGUGCAUGUUGUUACUGGCUGCCAGUAACACCCCUGAAGCCUCCACCACCCCCUUUAUGACCACAGAAAUGAGGUGGUCACAGAUAUUGCCAAAUGUCCCCUAGGAGAAAAAUCACCUUCAUUUAAGAACCACUGAACAAAAGCCAUGGCAAGAUAAUUUCAUUCUACAUAUAAUGGAAAUCCAUGGGAGGCUCAGAGCUGGGAAAAACCAUUGCAAUUUACAUUUUUAAAGGGCACUCUGGCUGCUGUUGGCCUAAAAGAAAAACAACAGCAGAGGCAGGAGAUGCAGGAAGAGGUCUAGAUGAGAGGUGACCCUGGCCCAGAUUAAAGAGGGAGCAGUGGACUAUAAGAAGUGAUUGGAUUCUGACUACAUUUUGAGGGUGAAGCCAACAAACUUGCUGGUGAAUUGGAUAUAAAAGGUGAGAGGGAAGGCAGAAUCAAGUAUGGUUUCUAGAUUACUCUGUGGGAAUAAUUAUGUCAUUAUCUAAAGUAGAGAAGACUAGGAGAAAAGUAGCUUGGGGGUUAAAAAAAAUUCUAAAUUUGAGAUGUCCUUUAGACAUCCAAGUAGACAUGCCAGUAGAAUAUAAGAGUCUGGGGCCCAGGGGAGAGAUCCAGGCUGGAAAUGAACAUCCGGAAGUCGUAGAUCGUAGCUCAUGCCUGGGGAGGAUGAGAUCAUCCAGGAAGAGGGCGAUCUAGAAAGGAAAGCUGAGCUCUAGGGCACACCAUAUUUAGAGGUUCAGAGAAUAAGGAGAAGCCAGCAAACGAGGCCAGGGAGGAGGACUAAUGAGGGAGAAGGGACAUUAGGAGAAGAGACAGGGACAUGUGUAUUCCUGAGGUGUCCUGGCACUGUUGUUACAUCUGCCUUAGACUGAGUAGUUGGGGAGCUCCUCAGGCAUUCGUUUGUGUUCAAUGGUGGUGGCAAUGGUACUGAACUACUAUAAGGUACUAUAUCCAAGUUUUAGACAACCAAACGAUUGAGCAAAAGCCACCUUGGUUAAUCUUUAAGAAAUAAGUGGUACUGAUACCACUUUAUAGCCGAAGAAACUGAAAAUGAGGGCACUAUAGCAACUCGCUUUCCAUCACAUGCACUUUAAGCACGACUCCUGGGACUGGAACCUUGGAAAGCCUGUUUCCACAUUCAUGCUUUUUCUGUGGUGUUCUUGGCCUCUGCCUCACAAGGUUCCGCUCAAUGCCUGGCACAGACCUCCAUUCUGACCAUGGCAGGAAUACCUCAUCUCUGCUCAAGUUUAUGUGAGUGCAUCUACAUCUGCUACUGCGUUUGGAAUGGACCAGGAGGAGCCAGAACUGCUCAAUACCAGGGCAAGUGACUGUCAAGAUCCCUCAUGCAACUAAGGCCAGAACCAGCACGAGCACCUGGAGUUUCACACUCCUGGUCCAGGUUUUCCCAUCUUACCUUCUGUGUCUACAACCAAGAUGUUUCCCCAUCCAUCAACCAUAUCCAGUGCAACAGCCCUAAUAGAUAUGCAGGGGAAGUAGCAUUAUUCUCAUUUUCCAGAUUAAGAAACAGAGGCUCAGAGAGGUUCUGUAAUUUGCCUAAAUUAUACCACUAGUAAGAUUCUGAAUCAGGAAUAAAUUCCUCAUCUCCUAAAUCUAGGUAUUACUGAGCUGAAAUAAUCUAUCCCUGACUUAGCCAUUAGUUUUUAUUUCUUACAUAAUAACUUUCCCAAACCAUAAAAGAAAGAAGAUACAAACAAACUUUUCUAAACACCAGUAUUGCCGGUCAGAAUUCUGUAAUAGGUUCAUAGUCGUUUAAGAAGUCAAAAUGACUGGAAGAUGAACAUUUUGUGCACCAUGUCAACUUAAAAUUAUUAUUUUUUGGCUUAAUCAUAAAGAUGCUUUAAAAAGAACCUUUGAAACAUAUUUGUGUUGCUUUAUGAAGCUCUCUGCUUUCUGACAUCUCCUGCUCUUUUUUGGAAAAGUUCAAAAACAGCACUUGAAAACCCCACCCCCAAAAUAUUUUCUUUCAUUUCCA
rnacentral:lncRNA from 1 species